CGGGUGAGUAACGCGUGGAUAACCUGCCUCAUACAGGGGGAUAACAGUUAGAAAUGACUGCUAAUACCGCAUAAGCACCCGGGAGCGCAUGCUCCUGAGUGAAAAGCUCCGGCGGUAUGAGAUGGAUCCGCGUCUGAUUAGCUGGUUGGCGGGGUAACGGCCCACCAAGGCGACGAUCAGUAGCCGACCUGAGAGGGUGGCCGGCCACAUUGGGACUGAGACACGGCCCAAACUCCUACGGAAGGCAGCAG
rnacentral:rRNA from 1 species